GUGAGCUUGUGCGUAAUAUAAAAUUUUACAUAAAACUCUUUAAAAUUUUGAUUGUUAAAUUGUUGAUCGUUGUCGGUGAUAAUGGUGUAUAUAAAUCGAAUCUAUAUAUGAUUAAUUUUUGAAUAAAAUCUUUCAUCUUACUUUCAGUGAUCUGCACUAAGGAUUCAGCUUCUAUCCAUUUGGUGAAGUAAUCAAUGGCAACCACUAUAAAUUUUUUUUGACCAGACAUUGAUGGAAAGGGAUGGAAUAUGUCGAUUCUCCACUACAUGAAGAAUCAUGGUGCAAUAAUUGAUGUCAGUUGGCUGUUC
rnacentral:lncRNA from 1 species